rnacentral:rRNA from 1 species
AACGCGAAGAACCUUACCAGGUCUUGACAUCCUACUAACGAAGCAGAGAUGCAUCAGGUGCCCUUUGGGGAAAGUAGAGACAGGUGGUGCAUGGUUGUCGUCAGCUCGUGUCGUGAGAUGUUGGGUUAAGUCCCGCAACGAGCGCAACCCUUAUUGUUAGUUGCUACGCAAGAGCACUCUAACGAGACUGCCGUUGACAAAACGGAGGAAGGUGGGGAUGAUGUCAAAUCAUCAUGCCCUUUAUGACCUGGGCUACACACGUACUACAAUGGCGGCCAACAGAGGGGAGCCAAGGCGCGAGCCGGAGCGAAUCCCAAAAAGCCGUCUCAGUUCGGAUCGCAGGCUGCAACCCGCCUGCGUGAAGUCGGAAUUGCUAGUAAUCGCGGAUCAGCAUGCCGCGGUGAAUACGUUCCCGGGUCUUGUACACACCG